GCUCCAUGAGGAUGACAGAUUUAGAAGUCAUAGUCACCAUCUGCUGGUGAGGCCUGUAAUACACAGUGGGGGGGCUGUCAGCCUGGGCCUUCAUUGGCUUCUUCACACACACUGAUGUCAGGUGACACGCCGCUCCUUGAGGGGUCCUGAGGGAAUUGUAAAUUAAUCCUGGGAAUGCGUGUGUCAGUGGAAAGAUAAAAGUGUCCCCAAGUGUCACAUCUGAUUGUCACUUUGAUCACCGACAGUGAAGGUGAAGUCAGUCAGCUGAUUCGUCUCCUUGAGGUUGGGUGACAUUGGGAACAACAAGGAGGAGGUGCAGUUUAAUGUCUAACGUGACACCAAGUGACUCAGUAAAACACCAAACUCCAUCAGUAUGGCCGACAUGUGACUGAGCGGUGAGUCCUCGUCUUUAGACAUUCACAGUGAAUUCAUUCAGAGGUGACAGACCACCGGAGUAACUAAUAGAGGGGCAGACAAUGUCUGUUCACAGGCCAGCAAACCAGUCACUUCUGUCACUCUGUGCUCCUAUAUAGUCACUGGAAUGAGGGUCUGGAUACUGAGACAGGCAUGUGGUCCUGCUGGAGCAGCACUACUGAAAGGCACUAUAUAGACUGACUUAACAGGUGACAUUCAGUGACACUCAGAGGACACAGCAGUUGGGGUGUCAGCCUGAAGGACAUGUGGCUGUGAAUCAACAGUGACCCCUGCUGGUCAGACUGGUAUUUGUAGGUCUGAGGUGUCACCGCCCCUCACUAUGACACACACACCUGAUUGGCUACUCAGACCCAAUAAUAAUGGAGACCCUGACAGCCGCACUCGCCCCGCAUAUUCAUCCACAAAUUCACUCACAGAGGUGCUGCCCCCCCACCUAUAGUGUAAAAUUAAUUUUGACCCCAAACUGCAAACACAAAGACACCUGAGUUUGUGGGGACAUCAAGUGACCGGUGGAGGGUACUGGUCAGUGGUCACAUGGUGUCAGAUGGCUGAUUGUUACACUGGAGUUUAAAUAAAGAUUAAACCCUGGAUAGAGGGGCUCAGUGAAGGAGGUGUUGAACCUGUGCAGGAGGGUCAUUGUGUGUGAGACGCUAUAAAAUGACAGAGAGCCAGCAGGCCAGUCCAGAUACACACCUAUUCUGGGGCUGUAGGGGGCGCUGAUUACAGUCUCCUUGUUAUUGUGCCACACAGAGUACUGGGAAUGAGAACACUGCAAACUCCAGGACUUGUCGUUGUUUCCAAGGCCGCA